CCUACGGGAGGCAGCAGUGGGGAAUUUUGGACAAUGGGCGAAAGCCUGAUCCAGCAAUGCCGCGUGCAGGAUGAAGGCCUUCGGGUUGUAAACUGCUUUUGUACGGAACGAAAAAGCUCCUUCUAAUACAGGGGGCCCACGACGGUACCGUAAGAAUAAGCACCGGCUAACUACGUGCCAGCAGCCGCGGUAAU
rnacentral:rRNA from 1 species